rnacentral:rRNA from 1 species
UACGUAGGGUGGAAGCGUUAAUCGGAAUUACUGGGCGUAAAGCGUACGCAGGCGGCUUUGCAAGACAGGUGUGAAAUCCCCGGGCCUAACCUGGGAACUGCAUUUGUGACUGCAUGGCUAGAGUUUGUCAGAGGGGGGUGGAAUUCCACGUGUAGCAGUGAAAUGCGUAGAUAUGUGGAGGAACACCGAUGGCGAAGGCAGCCCCCUGGGAUGUGACUGACGCUCAUGUACGACAGCAUGGGGAGCAAACAGG